AUUGAACGCUGGCGGCAUGCUUUACACAUGCAAGUCGAGCGGCAGCGCGGGGGCAACCCUGGCGGCGAGCGGCGAACGGGUGAGUAAUGCAUCGGAACGUACCCUGGAGUGGGGGAUAACGCCGCGAAAGCGGCGCUAAUACCGCAUAUGCUCUGAGGAGGAAAGUGGGGGACCGCAAGGCCUCACGCUCUGGGAGCGGCCGAUGUCCGAUUAGCUAGUUGGUGAGGUAAAGGCUUACCAAGGCGACGAUCGGUAGCUGGUCUGAGAGGAUGAUCAGCCACACUGGGACUGAGACACGGCCCAGACUCCUACGGGAGGCAGCAGUGGGGAAUUUUGGACAAUGGGGGGCAACCCUGAUCCAGCCAUGCCGCGUGAGUGAAGAAGGCCUC
rnacentral:rRNA from 1 species